rnacentral:sRNA from 1 species
GCAGGGUGCUGUGGUGCGCACUUGUAAUCCUAGCCGCUUGGGAGGCUGAGACAGGAGGAUCUUGAGUUCAAAGGCAGCCUCAGCAAAAGCAAGGCAUUAAACAACUCAGUGAGACCCUGUCUCUA